rnacentral:lncRNA from 8 species
UAUAUUUUGCUAAUAUGUUCUUCCUCUUUCUUUCCAGGUCACUGAACAGAAAACCAAAGUGCCAGACUCAGCCAAGCCCGGCCCCACCCCUCCUCCUCCCCCCGCCAACCCCAGUGCCACCCCGUCUGUGCCCCCCACCAGUGGAAGUAAUGGCAAGCGCGCCUCCUCCAGUGCCCAGCAGCAGUCCCAGCCCUCGCCCGCCCAACAGCGUUACCCGCCAAGAGAGAUCCCUCCGCGCUUCCGCCAGCAGGAGCACAAGCAGCUGCUGA